AGCAGCCGCGGUAAUUCCAGCUCCAAUAGCGUAUAUUAAAGUUGUUGCAGUUAAAAGCUCGUAGUUGAAUUUCGGGAUUGGCGCAUCGGUCGUGCCUCACGGGGUAUGAACUGGUGCAGUCAAUUUUCUCACCUUCUGGAGAACCGCGAUGUCCUUAAUUGGAUGCCGCGGGGAACCAGGACCUUUACUUUGAAAAAUUAGAGUGUUUAAAGCAGGCAUUUUUGCUUGAAUACAUUAGCAUGGAAUAAUAAAAUAGGACGGCAUGGUUCUAUUUUGUUGGUUUCUAGGACCACCGUAAUGAUUAAUAGGGAUAGUUGGGGGCAUUAGUAUUCAAUUGUCAGAGGUGAAAUUCUUGGAUUUAUUGAAGACUAACUACUGCGAAAGCAUUUGCCAAGGAUGUUUUCAUUAAUCAAGAACGAAAGUUAGGGGAUCGAAGACGAUCAGAUACCGUCGUAGUCUUAACCAUAAACUAUAGCCGACUAGGAAUCAGACGAUGUUAAUUUUUUAAUGUACUUCGUUU
rnacentral:misc_RNA from 1 species